AUGAUGAUAUUGACCUAUGGAGCCGAGGCUUGCUCUAGCGACGGUUGUGAGGUGAAUCCGAGUAGAAGACAUAAAAGACUAAAGAUGAGAUUAUAUUCGCUCAGGGCUGAACUGGUAAUGCAGGGUCAGGAUUUGGUCGCGGGAAGAAGCCUGAGCACAUUCAGGCCAUCGAGCUUCCUUCCAUUGAAGCCAAGGAAUGCUGAUAAGACUUAACUUGAGGACUAUCCACAACCUCACUCUGUUAUUGGAGUUAGUGUUCUAAAGCGUAUCAGGAUUAAGGAGAUGUUAAAGGAGAUAAGGGCUGCUUUAAGGCAUUGCAUUGAUUCCAAUGGAGCAUUGGCUUCCAGUGUCACGCGAUGA